GUGGGGAAUAUUGGACAAUGGGCGCAAGCCUGAUCCAGCCAUGCCGCGUGAGUGAUGAAGGCCUUAGGGUUGUAAAGCUCUUUCAGUGGGGACGAUAAUGACGGUACCCACAGAAGAAGCCCCGGCUAACUUCGUGCCAGCAGCCGCGGUAAUACGAAGGGGGCUAGCGUUGUUCGGAUUUACUGGGCGUAAAGCGCACGUAGGCGGAUCGUUAAGUCGGGGGUGAAAUCCUGGAGCUCACGUCCAGAACUGCCUUCGAUACUGGCGAUCUUGAGUGCGGAAGAGGGGAGUGGAACUCCGAGUGUAGAGGUGGAAUUCGUAGAUAUUAGGAAGAACACCAGUGGCGAAGGCGGCUCACUGGUCCGGUACUGACGCUGAGGUGCGAAAGCGUGGGGAGCAAACAGGAUUAGAAACCCUGGUAGUCC
rnacentral:rRNA from 1 species